CACGUAGGGCGCAAGCGUUGUCCGGAAUUAUUGGGCGUAAAGAGCUCGUAGGCGGCUCGUCGCGUCGACCGUGAAAACCCGCGGCUUAACUGCGGGCUUGCGGUUGAUACGGGCGGGCUAGAGUUCGGUAGGGGAGACUGGAAUUCCUGGUGUAGCGGUGAAAUGCGCAGAUAUCAGGAGGAACACCGGUGGCGAAGGCGGGUCUCUGGGCCGAUACUGACGCUGAGGAGCGAAAGCGUGGGGAGCGAACAGG
rnacentral:rRNA from 1 species